rnacentral:rRNA from 1 species
AAUGAACGCUGGCGGCGUGCUUUACACAUGCAAGUCGAGCGAGGCGGGUAGCAAUACCCAGUCGAGCGGCGAACGGGUGAGUAACGCGUGGAUAACCUGCCCAGAGGUGGGGGAUAACCCGGGAAACGUCGGGCGUAAUACCGCAUAUGACCGUGAGGUCAAAGGGGCGUCGCAAGAGCUCUCGCCAUUGGAGGGGUCCGGCGUACGAUUAGCUAGUUGGUAGGGUAAUGGCCUACCAAGGCGACGAUCGUUAGCCGGCCUGAGAGGGUGAUCGGCCGACACUGGAACUGAGACACGGCCCAGACUCCUACGGGAGGCAGCAGUGGGGAA